rnacentral:tRNA from 1 species
GAUGGUUAAAAACCCUCCUCUACUA